rnacentral:tRNA from 1 species
ACCUGACUGGCUCAGUCGGUAGAACAUGUGACUCUUGUUCUCAGGAUCAUGAGUUCAAGCCCCAUGUUAGGCA